rnacentral:tRNA from 1 species
GAUAGAGUCAGCUAAAAAAGCUUUCGGGCCCAUACCCCGAAAAUGGCGGUUAAAAUCCACCCUCCAUCA